AUUUACCACAAUGUACUCCCCCCGAUUCAAUAGUUAAAUACAGUACAAAAGUACAAAACUCCCAUAAUUCUUAUCAUUUACCCUCUGUCAGAAAGUUUACAGGCCACUUGCUACAGGCAGUGCCUCCCCCUUUAACCUUCCUCCCCAGUCAGUUUUAUAAAGGGAGCCAGUUUCAUCUCCAGCAGGACCUCCAAACCCAUUCCAAGUGGUGCCAGAACUUCUUUAAAGAAGUGCCAAGUGUGAAUCCCAUCCUCACUGCCUAUCCUUCCAUGUUCUGGAGUUCAUUUCUCUGUCAUAAAGAAUCUUGGAGACAGAAUAUCUAGUUUAAAUUUCCAUCUCAGUCUUUUACUGUCAAAACCUAAGAAAGUUACUACAUCCCUCUGAAUUUCAGUUUUCAAAUCUAUAAAAUGGGGCUAAUAAUACCUACACUCCUCACCUCUUGGAGCGACUGCAAAGUGACAGAACUGUUAUUAUUCCCUGCCAUAAUUCAAAGAUUUACAAGGGAGCAUUUAGUCCUCUCAGCAAUCUCUCAGAAUCAAAAUCUCUUCAUGCUAAUGCUGCUAUAAUGCUCUUUGUGAAAACCUUCCCCACCUCUGCUAAGAUUCCAGAGUUUUAACUACAUCAUUAAAACCAUCAUAAUGAACAAGCUUUUUCACCUUCUAUAAUACAGAUAGACAUGUGGCUCAUUCCAUUCUAAGCUCCCCGACAGGUGGGACUGUUUUUUGCCUUUCUUCCUAUCCAUAGCACUUAGCUCAGUGGCUGGCACAUAGUAGACACUUAAUAAGUAUUUGUGGAUUAAUUGAUUGUGACCCAAAAGAUUGUAUAUGGGUGGUAUGCUCAGGCACCUCUGGAAAUCUGGAAGAUCUUGGCAUGGGGCAAUAUGUCUAAAAGGAUGCAUUAUUGACAACUUCUCUAGUUCAAAGGUUUGGCAUUCGCUCAAAGAAAUGGGAAGGAAGUGUUUUGCAGCAGGAAGAGCAAUGGAUUUGGGUGAAAAGACCUGGGUGCAAGAUUCUGUUCACCGCUUGCUUGGAGCAAGUUCGAUGUUUGUUUUCUACCUAUCACGAUUUCUCUAGCCUCCCAAGUGAUAAACUUUGCAUUCUGCCAGUAGAAAAGGCUACAAAAAAUUAACCAAGCUAACUUUUAUUGGCUUGUUUUCUUUGACAAAAACAUAAUGAAAUGAGGUGCACCUCUGACC
rnacentral:lncRNA from 1 species